UGAGGAAUAUUGCGCAAUGGGCGAAAGCCUGACGCAGCGACGCCGCGUGGAGGAUGAAGGUUUUCGGAUUGUAAACUCCUGUUAAGUGGGAAGAAACGACAAAAUAUAAUACAUUUUGUAACUGACGGUACCAUUAAAGAAAGCACCGGCUAACUUCGUGCCAGCAGCCGCGGUAAUACGAGGGGUGCAAGCGUUAUUCGGAAUUAUUGGGCGUAAAGGGUGCGUAGGCGGCGUAUUAAGUCAACUGUUAAAACCUCCAGCCUAACUGGAGAUCAGCAGUAGAUACUGGUAUGCUAGAGGAUGGAAGAGAGAAGUGGAAUUCUUGGAGUAGCGGUGGAAUGCGUAGAUCUCAAGAGGAACACCAAUGGCGAAGGCAGCUUCUUGGUCCAUAUCUGACGCUGAUGCACGAAAGCGUGGGGGAGCAAAACAGGAUUAGAUACCCUGGUAGUCCACGCCGUAAACGAUGAUCACUAGAUGUUAAUUCUGCUUGCAGAAUUAGUGUCGUAGCUAACGCGAUAAGUGAUCCGCCUGGGGGACUACGGUCGCAAGAUUAAAACUCAAA
rnacentral:rRNA from 1 species